rnacentral:tRNA from 1 species
GGGCCCAUAGCUCAGCUGGUUAGAGCACCUGACUCAUAAUCAGGGAGUCCUAGGUUCGAAUCCUAGUGGGCCCA